rnacentral:lncRNA from 1 species
CUACGGCUUCUAGUGCUUUGGCAAAAACCUUAGAUAUGGUUGCAAUUUCAUAUUGUUGGAACAUUUGCUGUAUCCCUGGGGGUUACAGAUCUCUCUCUGUUUGCUGUGGCUAAACCAAGAAAGAAGGCACACACAGAUUUCUUCAGAAAUUAUGAUUCCAUGAAAGAUUGUGAGGAGAUGAAGAAGGCUGAUAUCUUUCGGAAUACAA